rnacentral:rRNA from 1 species
AGCAGCCGCGGUAAUUCCAGCUCCAAUAGCGUAUAUUAAAGUUGUUGCAGUUAAAAAGCUCGUAGUUGGAUUUCGGGAUUAGUACGCUGGUCGUGCCUUCGGUACGUACUGGUGUUACUGAUUCCUACCUUCUGACGAACCAUCAUGUCAUUAAUUUGGUGUGGUGGGGAAUCAGGACUGUUACUUUGAAAAAAUUAGAGUGUUUAAAGCAGGCUCGCGCUUGAAUACAUUAGCAUGGAAUAAUGAAAUAGGACGUUGAUCCUAUUUUGUUGGUUUCUAGGAUUGACGUAAUGAUUAAUAGGGGUAGUUGGGGGCAUUAGUAUUCAAUUGUCAGAGGUGAUGUUCUUGGAUUUAUUGAAGACUAACUACUGCGAAAGCAUUUGCCAAGGAUGUUUUCAUUAAUCAAGAACGAAAGUUAGGGGAUCGAAGACGAUCAGAUACCGUCGUAGUCUUAACCAUAAACUAUGCCGACUAGGGAUCGGAUGAUGUUAAUUUUUUAAUGACUCAUUCGGCGUCUUAC